AUGGGGAUGCGUCUGAUUAGCUUGUUGGCGGGGUAACGGCCCACCAAGGCAACGAUCAGUAGGGGUUCUGAGAGGAAGGUCCCCCACAUUGGAACUGAGACACGGUCCAAACUCCUACGGGAGGCAGCAGUGAGGAAUAUUGGUCAAUGGACGAGAGUCUGAACCAGCCAAGUAGCGUGCAGGAUGACGGCCCUAUGGGUUGUAAACUGCUUUUAUAAGGGAAUAAAGUGAGUCUCGUGAGACUUUUUGCAUGUACCUUAUGAAUAAGGACCGGCUAAUUCCGUGCCAGCAGCCGCGGUAAUACGGAAGGUCCGGGCGUUAUCCGGAUUUAUUGGGUUUAAAGGGAGCGUAGGCCGGAGAUUAAGCGUGUUGUGAAAUGUAGACGCUCAACGUCUGCACUGCAGCGCGAACUGGUUUCCUUGAGUACGCACAAAGUGGGCGGAAUUCGUGGUGUAGCGGUGAAAUGCUUAGAUAUCACGAAGAACUCCGAUUGCGAAGGCAGCUCACUGGAGCGCAACUGACGCUGAAGCUCGAAAGUGCGGGUAUCGAACAGGAUUGGAUACCCUGGGUAGUCCGCACGGUAAACGAUGGAUGCCCG
rnacentral:rRNA from 1 species